UCCAGAAGUGGCUCACCUUCAAUUUCCUUAACCUUCAUGCUAUUUGCGAUUGCAGAAGCUGUCCUCCUUCCAAUGGUCACUCCUACACCCCUGUCCAUCACUGUCUGCCUAUCAGACCCCAAACCAUUUCUACGACUAGUCAAUCUGUGGCUGCCUCCAAAAAGGCUGCGAGCAUGAUAAUGACUCAUUGCCCGAUCCCUUAGCAUUUGGGCUUCAGCAAGCAAUGGAGAAGGUAAUGCUGAUAAUACAGCUUCUGAAGAAGUCAAAAGUACCUCUUC
rnacentral:misc_RNA from 1 species